rnacentral:rRNA from 1 species
UGCGAAUACCGGAGAAUGUUAUCACGGGAGACACACGGCGGGUGCUAACGUCCGUCGUGAAGAGGGAAACAACCCAGACCGCCAGCUAAGGUCCCAAAGUCAUGGUUAAGUGGGAAACGAUGUGGGAAGGCCCAGACAGCCAGGAUGUUGGCUUAGAAGCAGCCAUCAUUUAAAGAAAGCGUAAUAGCUCACUGGUCGAGUCGGCCUGCGCGGAAGAUGUAACGGGGCUAAACCAUGCACCGAAGCUGCGGCAGCGACACUCAGGUGUUGUUGGGUAGGGGAGCGUUCUGUAAGCCUGCGAAGGUGGCCUGUGAGGGUUGCUGGAGGUAUCAGAAGUGCGAAUGCUGACAUAAGUAACGAUAAAGCGGGUGAAAAGCCCGCUCGCCGGAAGACCAAGGGUUCCUGUCCAACGUUAAUCGGGGCAGGGUGAGUCGACCCCUAAGGCGAGGCCGAAAGGCGUAGUCGAUGGGAAACGGGUUAAUAUUCCCGUACUUGGUGUUACUGCGAAGGGGGGACGGAGAAGGCUAUGUUGGCCGGGCGACGGUUGUCCCGGUUUAAGCGUGUAGGUGUGUGUUCCAGGUAAAUCCGGUUCACUUUAACACUGAGGCGUGACGACGAGGCACUACGGUGCUGAAGCAACAAAUGCCCUGCUUCCAGGAAAAGCCUCUAAGCAUCAGGUAACAUCAAAUCGUACCCCAAACCGACACAGGUGGUCAGGUAGAGAAUACCAAGGCGCUUGAGAGAACUCGGGUGAAGGAACUAGGCAAAAUGGUGCCGUAACUUCGGGAGAAGGCACGCUGACACGUAGGUGAAGUGAUUUACUCA